UACGUAGGGGGCGAGCGUUGUCCGGAUUUAUUGGGCGUAAAGAGCUCGUAGGCGGCUGUUCGAGUCGGGUGUGAAAUCCUGAGGCUUAACCUUGGGUCUGCAUUCGAUACUGGGCGGCUUGAGUCUGGUAGGGGGAUCUGGAAUUCCUGGUGUAGCGGUGGAAUGCGCAGAUAUCGGGAGGAACACCAGUGGCGAAGGCGACUUCCUGGCCUGUUCUUGACGCUGAGGCGCGAAAGCGUGGGGAGCGAACAGG
rnacentral:rRNA from 1 species